rnacentral:rRNA from 1 species
ACACUCCUGCGGGAGGCAGUGGGGAAUAUUGGACAAUGGGCGCAAGCCUGAUCCAGCCAUGCCGCGUGAGUGAUGAAGGCCCUAGGGUUGUAAAGCUCUUUCACCGGAGAAGAUAAUGACGGUAUCCGGAGAAGAAGCCCCGGCUAACUUCGUGCCAGCAGCCGCGGUAAUACGAAGGGGGCUAGCGUUGUUCGGAAUUACUGGGCGUAAAGCGCACGUAGGCGGAUCGAUCAGUCAGGGGUGAAAUCCCAGGGCUCAACCCUGGAACUGCCUUUGAUACUGUCGAUCUGGAGUAUGGAAGAGGUGAGUGGAAUUCCGAGUGUAGAGGUGAAAUUCGUAGAUAUUCGGAGGAACACCAGUGGCGAAGGCGGCUCACUGGUCCAUUACUGACGCUGAGGUGCGAAAGCGUGGGGGGCAAACAGGAUUAGAUACCCGGGUAGUCCCAUGAU